UACGUAGGGUGCAAGCGUUGUCCGGAAUUAUUGGGCGUAAAGAGCUCGUAGGCGGUCUGUUGCGUCGGCUGUGAAAACCCGGGGCUCAACUCCGGGCCUGCAGCCGAUACGGGCAGACUAGAGUUCGGCAGGGGAGACUGGAAUUCCUGGUGUAGCGGUGAAAUGCGCAGAUAUCAGGAGGAACACCCGUAGCGAAGGCGGCACUCUGGGCCGAUACUGACACUGAGGAGCGAAAGCGUGGGGAGCGAACAGG
rnacentral:rRNA from 1 species